CGUCACAGAGGGUGAGAAUCCCGUAGGUGGUCGACUAUUUUCGCCGUGUAAAGCCCCUUCGACGAGUCGAGUUGUUUGGGAAUGCAGCUCUAAAUGGGAGGUAAAUUUCUUCUAAAGCUAAAUACUGGCCAGAGACCGAUAGCGCACAAGUAGAGUGAUCGAAAGAUGAAAAGCACUUUGGAAAGAGAGUCAAAUAGCACGUGAAAUUGUUGAAAGGGAAGCGCUUGCAGCCAGACGUGCCCGCGGUUGUUUUCUUCCGUGGGCAGGCCAGCAUCAGUUUGGGCGGUCGGAUAAUGGCCUCUGUCACGUAUCUCCCUUCGGGGUGACCUUAUAGGGGAGGCGUAAUGCGAUCAGCCCGGACUGAGGUCCGCGCAUCUGCUAGGAUGCUGGCGUAAUGGCUGUAAGCGGCCCGUCUUGAAACACGGACCAAGGAGUCUAACAUCUAUGCGAGUGUUUGGGUGUCAAGCCCGGACGCGUAAUGAAAGUGAACGGAGGUGGGAACCCUCUCGGGGGUGCACCAUCGACCGAUCCUGAAGUCUUCGGAUGGAUUUGAGUAAGAGCAUGGCUGUUGGGACCCGAAAGAUGGUGAACUAUGCUUGAAUAGGGUGAAGCCAGAGGAAACUCUGGUGGAGGCUCGCAGCGGUUCUGACGUGCAAAUCGAUCGUCAAA
rnacentral:rRNA from 1 species